rnacentral:rRNA from 1 species
GAUGAACGCUGGCGGCGUGCUUAACUCAUGCAAGUCGAACGGAGCACUUUGGAUAGAGGUUUCGGCCAAUUGAAAAAGUUGCUUAGUGGCGGACGGGUGAGUAACGCGUGAGCAACCUGCCUUUCAGUGGGGAAUAACAGUCGGAAACGAUUGCUAAUACCGCAUAAUGUAUCGGAACCACAUGGCUCUGAUACCAAAGAUUUAUCGCUGAAAGAUGGGCUCGCGUCUGAUUAGCUAGUUGGUGAGGUAAUGGCCCACCAAGGCGACGAUCAGGAGCCGGACUGAGAGGUUGACGGGCAACAUUGGGACUGAGAUACGGCCCAGACUCCUACGGGAGGCAGCAGUGGGGAAUAUUGGGCAAUGGGCGCAAGCCUGACCCAGCAACGCCGCGUGAAGGAAGAAGGCUUUCGGGUUGUAAACUUCUUUUGUCAGGGACGAAAAAAAUGACGGUACCUGACGAAUAAGCCACGGCUAACUACGUGCCAGCCGCCGCCGUAA